ensembl:processed_transcript RIKEN cDNA E130307A14 gene
GGGGGUUCUCCCCAACUCGGAGCGCGCGGCUGGGGAAGAAGCUGGCGGGAAGCCGGGCCGCGCGCCGCGCGCCGAGGAAUCGAUGAUUCGGCCUGUGGGCCGGGUCACUGCGGCGGGGCCCGGGGAGCGCCGAUAGCAUGGAUAGGCUCAGAGGGGCGCAGGGUUUUGGCGGCUUCCCAGUUCCCCUCGCCGACCGCCAUGUCACAUCUUACGGAAGAGGCGGGGGCUGCCGCGGAGAGGAUAUUUUUUUGUUUUGUUUUGUUUUCACAAGAAUCACCUGGAUGCUUCUAAAGAGGAUGUCUACCAGACCCCAUGCCGCACUAGUUAGCUCAGAAGUGGGAACCCUUCAAAGUGACUGUGACCCUCCAACCUAGACUGUCUACUAGCUUUGACAAUGACCCCUGUCCUGCUAUUGGCUAGCUCCAUGUUUUGUUCACGUGACUCU